CGGACGGGUGAGUAACACGUGGAUAACCUACCUAUAAGACUGGGAUAACUUCGGGAAACCGGAGCUAAUACCGGAUAAUAUAUUGAACCGCAUGGUUCAAUGGUGAAAGACGGUUUUGCUGUCACUUAUAGAUGGAUCCGCGCCGCAUUAGCUAGUUGGUAAGGUAACGGCUUACCAAGGCAACGAUGCGUAGCCGACCUGAGAGGGUGAUCGGCCACACUGGAACUGAGACACGGUCCAGACUCCUACGGGAGGCAGCAGCC
rnacentral:rRNA from 1 species